GGCCGAGGUUAGGCGAUAAAUUGUAAAUUUAUUAACGAAUUUGAUUCUUCUACCA
rnacentral:tRNA from 1 species